GAGCCAUCGGAGGCUGCUCCUCUUUGGGCCUCUCGUCUUCAGACCCCGAGUCCGAAUCGGAGCUGUCUGAUGAGCUGGAGCUUCCGGAGCUCGACGACGAACUGGAUCCGGAGCUUGACGAGCCUGGUGGAAAUGUCAGGAUCUUGUGGCACUUGAUGCACUUACCGGAGCCAGAGCUGGUGCUGCCCGUGUCCGAGUCGGAGCCGUCCUCCAGCUUCUCGACCCUCGAGUCCAGGUCCUUCACGGAACCGUUCCCUGGGGAUUUGUGAAGAAAUAAAAACAAUUAUGUAGAAA